GAGCAGAAUAUCGAGCCGAACGCGAGUCGAACACGAGCUCAAAACUUCAGAAAUAUCUCAUUUAUCCCCUUUUUUUUUUUCUUUCCAAUAUACCCCUUAUAUAUUCCUCCGUUAUUUCAAAAUACCCUUACAGUUACCACCCAUUAAGUUAACUUGGGUUAAACGUAAGUUAAAUAUCUAACACAGUUAAAAAAAAAUUAAAAUGUCAAUUUUGCCCUUAACUUAAGGGUAAAUAAGAAAUCUUGGUGACGGUAGAGAGGUAUAUUUGAAAAAAUCAAAAGUCAAAAUACUUUUUGUGCUCCUGACUUAAAGGGCAAAUAAGAAAAGUCGGUAAUGAUGGAAGGAUAUAUUUGAAUGGGUAAAACAUAAAUUUUAUAUAGAUAAAAUAGUUCAUUAAUAAAUUUUAACUAUAGGGGUAUAUUUGAAAUAGGUAAUAAAUUUUAACUAUAGGGGUAUAUUUGAAAUAGGUUGUAACGUAAAAAAAAUAUUUUCAAUAUUAGCCUUCCAUCAUUAUUAAAUCAGAAUUUUCAAUAUUAGCCUUCUAAGAGAAGUAAAUCAGAAUCGAAAAUUUUUCAGGAGUAUAUAAGCAAUUGCNGAAUGACAAAUAACAAUUAUAUUCUUAUAAAUUUUAACUUUUAUAUGUUGUCUUUACGAAAGUCCUGAUAUUUUCAAAUAUGUUCCUGUCAUUAUAAUCUGUUAGAAAAAUUUAGUUAACCAUAUGUUAAAUACCUAAUCCUAGUUAAUUUUGGACAUUUUUAUCUCUUUUUAUUAUACUGUUAUGGUUUUUUAGAGGGAUAUAUUUGUGAUGGCAAAAUUAAAAAUAUAAACAGUUUUCUAACAGUAACAAACUAGAGGAAUAUAUUUGAAAACAUCAGAAUUUUGAAAGGACAAUAUAUGAAAGUUGAACUUUGUAGAAAUAUAUUUGUCAUUCACUAUUUUUGUAGGAACCUGUAUGAAAUUAAUCCCUUUUUUUAUAUCCAUGAUACGACACGGU
rnacentral:lncRNA from 1 species